UACGUAGGGUGCAAGCGUUGUCCGGAAUUAUUGGGCGUAAAGAGCUCGUAGGCGGCCUGUUGCGUCCGCUGUGAAAUCCCGGGGCUCAACCCUGGGCGUGCAGUGGAUACGGGCAGGCUGGAGGCAGGCAGGGGAGAACGGAAUUCCCGGUGUAGCGGUGAAAUGCGCAGAUAUCGGGAGGAACACCGGUGGCGAAGGCGGUUAGCUGGGGCAGUUGCUGACACUGAGGCGCGACAGCGUGGGGAGCAAACAGG
rnacentral:rRNA from 1 species